UUUCAGCAUACCAUGCAAGUGUCGAUUGUUUUCGGAAGACUAUUACUUUCUCACCUCUAGAUCAACCACCUUUCAAGUUCAUUGGGAUUCAAGAAAAGUUUCCUUCUAUUAUUUCAGCCUUGAGUGCUACCCAACUAUUACUGAAGGGAUGUCAGGGAUACUUGGCCUUCAUUUCUGGAGAAGAAUCUAAGAAGCCAGUAUUAA
rnacentral:lncRNA from 1 species